UACGGGGGGGGCAAGCGUUGUUCGGAAUUACUGGGCGUAAAGGGCUCGUAGGUGGCCAACUAAGUCAUACGUGAAAUCCCUCGGCUUAACCGGGGAACUGCGUCUGAUACUGGAUGGCUUGAAUUCGGGAGAGGGAUGCAGAAUUCCAGGUGUAGCGGUGAAAUGCGUAGAUAUCUGGAGGAAUACCGGUGGCGAAGGCGGCAUCCUGGACCGACAUUGACGCUGAGGAGCGAAAGCUAGGGGAGCGAACCGG
rnacentral:rRNA from 1 species